rnacentral:rRNA from 1 species
AUUGAACGCUGGCGGCAUGCUUUACACAUGCAAGUCGAACGGUAACAGGGUGCUUGCACCGCUGACGAGUGGCGAACGGGUGAGUAAUGCGUCGGAACGUGCCGAGUAGUGGGGGAUAACGCAGCGAAAGUUGUGCUAAUACCGCAUACGUACUGAGGUAGAAAGUGGGGGACCUUCGGGCCUCACGCUAUUCGAGCGGCCGACGUCUGAUUAGCUAGUAGGUGAGGUAAAGGCUCACCUAGGCGACGAUCAGUAGCGGGUAUGAGAGGAUGCUCCACCAGACUGGGACGGAGACACGGCCCAGACUCCGACGGGAGGCAGCAGUGGGGAAUUUUGGACAAUGGGCGAAAGCCUGAUCCAGCCAUGCCGCGUGUCUGAAGAAGGCCUUCGGGUUGUAAAGGACUUUUGUCAGGGAGGAAAUCCCUAGUGCUAAUAACACUGGGGGAUGACAGUACCUGAAGAAUAAGCACCGGCUAACUACGUGCCAGCCGCCGCUGUAAAAC